rnacentral:rRNA from 1 species
GACGAACGCUGGCGGCGUGCUUAACACAUGCAAGUCGAACGGAAAGGCCCUGCUUUUGUGGGGUGCUCGAGUGGCGAACGGGUGAGUAACACGUGAGUAACCUGCCAUUGACUUUGGGAUAACUUCAGGAAACUGGGGCUAAUACCGGAUAGGAGCUCCUGCUGCAUGGUGGGGGUUGGAAAGUUUCGGCGGUUGGGGAUGGACUCGCGGCUUAUCAGCUUGUUGGUGGGGUAGUGGCUUACCAAGGCUUUGACGGGUAGCCGGCCUGAGAGGGUGACCGGCCACAUUGGGACUGAGAUACGGCCCAGACUCCUACGGGAGGCAGCAGUGGGGAAUAUUGCACGAUGGGCGGAAGCCUGAUGCAGCAACGCCGCGUGCGGGAUGACGGCCUUCGGGUUGUAAACCGCUUUCGCCUGUGACGAAGCGUGAGUGACGGUAAUGGGUAAAGAAGCACCGGCUAACUACGUG